rnacentral:ncRNA from 1 species
CAGGGCCACCGCAGACGCCCCGCGGCAUCGCUGGCCUCGCGCCAUCCAAGGUCUGC